rnacentral:lncRNA from 1 species
CCGAAGUAGUCAACGAGAACGUGGAGGGAGAGGAUGUUCUUGAGGGUGUAGAGGGAGUAAUGCUUGGCCAGGAGAGACGACAUGGCGGUGUUGUCGAGGGCUAGGACGGUUAUGGUUUGGCGUCGGUUGAUCUGGGAGGCCAGGUGAGUGGUGGUGAGGUAGUGGUUGAAGGUGGAGAAUUGGGGAUAUUUGGCGAGGAGGCGUGUGAUGUUGUGUGCAUUUGAGGUGGUGGUGGAAGAGAGGAGGAGGAGGAAGAAGAGGAGGAAGAGGGUGGCGGCUUUUGGUAGCGACAUGGUGGAAC